rnacentral:rRNA from 1 species
AAGGAUUCCCCUAGUAGCGGCGAGCGAAGCGGGAAGAGCUCAAAUUUAUAAUCUGGCACCUUCGGUGUCCGAGUUGUAAUCUCUACAAAUGUUUUCCGCGCUGGACCGCACACAAGUCUGUUGGAAUACAGCGGCAUAGUGGUGAGACCCCCCUAUAUGGUGCGGAUGCCCCGCGCUUUGUGAUACAUUUUCUAAAAGUCAAGUUGUUUGGGAAUGCAGCUCAAAUUGGGUGGUAAAUUCCAUCUAAAGCUAAAUAUUGGCGAGAGACCGAUAGCGAACAAGUACCGUGAGGGAAAGAUGAAAAGCACUUUGGAAAGAGAGUUAACAGUACGUGAAAUUGUUGGAAGGGAAACGCUUGAAGUCAGACUUGCUUGCCGAGCAAUCGGUUUGCAGGCCAGCAUCAGUUUUCCGGGAUGGAUAAUGGUAGAGAGAA